AGGUGGACUGGAGAAGGAAGUAACCAGAGAGGGGGAAGCUAGUCAGGACGCUGCUGAAGUUAUCCAAGAGGUAAGAAGCCUAAGAGCUUAGACAAAGACAAUAGUGAAAAGUGGAGAGGUAGAAGACACAUGUGACUCAGAAGAGCUGUAGAACGUUGUCACUAAAAAUGGAUUUGAGGAGGCUGUGGGAGGGGCAGAUCUAAGAUGACUUCCCGCACAUUAAAUCUGGAAAAAUGAUGGCACAGUGGAUGGCAACAAGGAAACUGGUGAGUGGAUCCUAUUUAGGGCAGGGUUAGUUU
rnacentral:lncRNA from 1 species